AAUAAACUAUUGAAGCUCUGAGUGGCUUCCUUAAGUUGGGACCCUGACUAUCUUAUGAAUUCUGUAAAUUUACCAAGCAUUGCCUUCAUCAAUUUUUUUCACUGAGUUCUACCUAAACUUUAAUCCAACCGAACAUUUCAUAGCAUAAACUAUUAUCUUUAUCAAAAUGUUCUCUCAAUGUCUCAUCACCUUCUAAUCAUUUUCCCUUCCUGCGCAUUCUCUGCCCAAAAUAAAUUGUUAGAUUUUUGUGUCAUAGCCAAAACAAUCAGGGUAAUGAGUAACUAUGUAUCACUCAUCAUGGGGCCUGCUAAGAGCUGCAGGAAGACUGAGCUCCUGAGUUUUUUAUUACAAGGGUGUUGUCUUCAUUAUUUCUGGAAUGUUUUCCCGUGAAAACAUUGAACAGUUAAGAAACAUUCUCAACUCUGCUGAUAAAUAGUUUUCCACUCUGUUUCUUCACUGUUCUAAAGAAGCAGAAGGUGCAGCCUUGUUUAAAUAAAAUGACAAGAUUGAUUAUGCAAGCAAAGCUUAUCUUCACUUUUACCUUCACAGAUACUCUGGUUUUAGCAAAGUAGAAUUUAAGAACAACCAUUUGGUAAAGGAAAGUAAUCCAGUAUUUAAGUAUAUAUAUUUUUAACCUUUUGUAAAAUCUGGAGCCUUUUGUUACACUCUAGAGUAGUCCUUCAAGACCUAUACAUAGAGAAGAUGAUUUUAAGAUGAGAAUAUCCCUUGUUACUGACUCGACCAUGCACAUGCAUUGGAAUAGGGUCAAUUGAGGAGACUGCAGAAAUGGGAAGGAACGUGACAGUUAACGACGUGUUAGGAAGAUUUGCCCACACGUUUAAUGGCUGAAACUAAUUCAUAAAUUUACUUUUUUAGGGAAGCUGAAAGUGUUGAUUGUGUCCUUAAAUAUAUACUCAAACACCGAGGCCAAAAGCACAGAUAGCUCAAAGGAUAGUUGACUUCAUGAAGUCAGCAAGCGUGAGACAAGAAACCAUCAGAAGAAAGACUGAUUUUAGUGAAACAAGAUUUUAAUAAGCUCUCAGCUAAACAGAAGCUGGCCAGCACCCAGAGAUUCUGCACAAUAAGGAAAGAUUCCAUCCCAUUGAUGAUUCGUUAAGAGAAGCAGUCUUCUUACAGAUUAUGGCAGGGAUUUUUUGCAUCAGAAGAUACUUGCUGUACAGAUGUUUGGAUUUGUUUUUUUGUUUUUCAUUAAAAUUUUUGGUCCUGGGGAAAAAAACUGACUUCUAGGCACUUCUUAGAGGUGCAAAAGUUUCUCUGUGGCCAUGAAGAUAAGAGAUGGUGGAAAUAUCAAUAAAGAGCUCUGAGGCCCGGGCGAGGUAGCUCACACCUGUAACCUCAGCACUUUGGGAGGCUGAGGCGGGUGGAUC